rnacentral:rRNA from 1 species
UGGUCAUAUGCUUGUUUCAAAGCCUAAGCCAUGCAUGUCUAAGCGCAGCUUGUAAAAGUGAAGCCGCGAAUAGCUCAUUACAACAGCCGUUGUUUAUUGGAUCUCCAUUCUCUACUUGGAAUAACUGUGGUAAUUCUAGAGCUAAUACAUGCGACCAAGGCCUGAACUUACGUGAUGGCUGCAUUUAUUAGAACAAGACCAACCGGCUUCGGCCGUUCUCUGGUGACUCUGAAUAACUGAGUGAAUCACAUGGUCUAGUACCCGUGAUGUAUCUUUCAAGUGUCUGCCUUAUCAACUUUCGAUGGUAGUUUAUGUGCCUACCAUGGUUGUAACGGGUAACGGAGAAUAAGGGUUUGACUCCGGAGAGGGAGCCUGAGAAACGGCUACCACUUCUAAGGAAGGCAGCAGGCGCGCAAAUUACCCAUUCUCGGCACGAGGAGGUAGUGACGAAAAAUACCAAGCUGGGAUCCAUUGAGUUCCGGCAUUGGAAUGAGAACAAUGUAAAUCUUUUAACGAGUAUCUAGU